rnacentral:rRNA from 1 species
AUUGAACGCUGGCGGCAGGCCUAACACAUGCAAGUCGAGCGGAUGAAGGGAGCUUGCUCCUGGAUUCAGCGGCGGACGGGUGAGUAAUGCCUAGGAAUCUGCCUGGUAGUGGGGGAUAACGUCCGGAAACGGGCGCUAAUACCGCAUACGACCUGAGGGAGAAAGUGGGGGAUCUUCGGACCUCACGCUAUCAGAUGAGCCUAGGUCGGAUUAGCUAGCUGGUGGGGUAAAGGCCUACCAAGGCGACGAUCCGUAACUGGUCUGAGAGGAUGAUCAGUCACACUGGAACUGAGACACGGUCCAGACGCCUACGGGAGGCAGCAGUGGGGAAUAUUGGACAAUGGGCGAAAGCCUGAUCCAGCCAUGCCGCGUGUGUGAAGAAGGUCUUCGGAUUGUAAAGCACGUUAAGUUGGGAGGAAGGGCAGUAAGUUAAUACCUUGCUGUUUUGACGUUACCAACAGAAUAAGCACCGGCUAACUUCGUG